rnacentral:rRNA from 1 species
AGAGCGAACGCUGGCGGCAGGCCUAACACAUGCAAGUCGAACGGACCCUUCGGGGUUAGUGGCGGACGGGUGAGUAACACGUGGGAACGUGCCUUUAGGUUCGGAAUAGCUCCUGGAAACGGGUGGUAAUGCCGAAUGUGCCCUUCGGGGGAAAGAUUUAUCGCCUUUAGAGCGGCCCGCGUCUGAUUAGCUAGUUGGUGAGGUAAAGGCUCACCAAGGCUACGAUCAGUAGCUGGUCUGAGAGGAUGACCAGCCACAUUGGGACUGAGGCACGGCCCAAACUCCUACGGGAGCAGCAGUGGGAAUCUGCGCAAGUGGGACGAAAGCCUGACGCAGCCAUGCCGCGUGAAUGAAUGGAAGGUCUUAAGGAUUAGUAAAAUUCUUUACAGUAGGGACGAAUAAUGACGGUACUACAAGAAGAACGCCCGGACUAACUUCGUGCCAGCAGCCGAC